rnacentral:rRNA from 1 species
CAGCCGCCACGGUAAUACGAAGGGGGCUAGCGUUGCUCGGAAUUACUGGGCGUAAAGGGCGCGUAGGCGGACAGUUCAGUCGGGGGUGAAAGCCCGGGGCUCAACCUCGGAAUUGCCUUCGAUACUGGCUGUCUUGAGUAUGAGAGAGGUGUGUGGAACUCCGAGUGUAGAGGUGAAAUUCGUAGAUAUUCGGAAGAACACCAGUGGCGAAGGCGACACACUGGCUCAUUACUGACGCUGAGGCGCGAAAGCGUGGGGAGCAAACAGGAUUAGAUACCCCUGUAGUCCCUGUCUCUUAUAC